rnacentral:rRNA from 1 species
CAGACGGAGGGAUCAUUACAGAGUUGCAAAACUCCCUAAACCAUUGUGAACGUUACUCUAAACCGGUUGCUUCGAGCGGGCGGCGCCGGGGUUUACCCCCCGGGCGCCCCUGGGCCCCACCGCGGGCGCCCGCCGGAGGUCACCAAACUCUUGAUAAUUUAUGGCCUCUCUGAGUCUUCUGUACUGAAUAAGUCAAAACUUUCAACAACGGAUCUCUUGGUUCUGGCAUCGAUGAAGAACGCAGCGAAAUGCGAUAAGUAAUGUGAAUUGCAGAAUUCAGUGAAUCAUCGAAUCUUUGAACGCACAUUGCGCCCGCCAGUAUUCUGGCGGGCAUGCCUGUUCGAGCGUCAUUUCAACCAUCAAGCCCCGGGCUUGUGUUGGGGACCUGCGGCUGCCGCAGGCCCUGAAAAGCAGUGGCGGGCUCGCUGUCACACCGAGCGUAGUAGCAUACAUCUCGCUCUGGGCGUGCUGCGGGUUCCGGCCGUUAAACCACCUUUUAACCCAAGGUUGACCUCGGAUCAGGUAGGAAGACCCGCUGAACUUAAGCAUAUCAAUUAC